GCCUGGGGAGAGUGGCGCCGAUCGAUUAGCAUGCUAGUUGCACGAGUUCAGACUCGUAGCAGAUAGCUCAGUAACACGUGGCCAAACUACCCUAUGGAUCCGGAUACCCUCGGGAAACUGAGACUAAUCCGGAAUACCACUCGAUGCCUGGAACUGGCUCGAGUGCGAAACGCUCCGGCGCCAUAGGAUGUGGCUGCGGCCGAUUAGGUAGACGGUGGGGUAACGGCCCACCGUGCCGAUAAUCGGUACGGGUUGUGAGAGCAAGAGCCCGGAGACGGUAUCUGAGACAAGAUACCGGGCCCUACGGGGCGCAGCAGGCGCGAAACCUUUACACUGCACGACAGUGCGAUAAGGGGACUCCAAGUGCGAGGGCAUAUAGUCCUCGCUUUUCACGACCGUAAGGUGGUCGUAGAAUAAGUGCUGGGCAAGACCGGUGCCAGCCGCCGCGGUAAUACCGGCAGCACGAGUGAUGACCGCUAUUAUUGGGCCUAAAGCGUCCGUAGCUGGCCUCGCAAGUCCAUCGGGAAAUCUGUCCGCUUAACGGACAGGCGUCCGGUGGAAACUGCGUGGCUUGGGACCGGAAGAUCCAGAGGGUACGUCUGGGGUAGGAGUGAAAUCCCGUAAUCCUGGACGGACCGCCGGUGGCGAAAGCGCUCUGGAAAGACGGAUCCGACGGUGAGGGACGAAAGCUCGGGUCACGAACCGGAUUAGAUACCCGGGUAGUCCGAGCUGUAAACGAUGUCUGCUAGGUGUGACACAGGCUACGAGCCUGUGUUGUGCCGUAGGGAAGCCGUGAAGCAGACCGCCUGGGAAGUACGUCCGCAAGGAUGAAACUUAAAGGAAUUGGCGGGGGAGCACUACAACCGGAGGAGCCUGCGGUUUAAUUGGACUCAACGCCGGACAUCUCACCAGCAUCGACAACGUGCCGUGAAGGUCAGUGUGAUGAGCUUACUGGAGCCGUUGAGAGGAGGUGCAUGGGCCGCCGUCAGCUCGUACCGUGAGGCGUCCUGUUAAGUCAGGCAACGAGCGAGACCCGCACUCCUAAUUGCCAGCACACCUUGUGGUUGUUGGGUACAUUAGGAGGACUGCAGUGCUAACUGGAGGAGAACGGGCAACGGUAGGUCAUAUGCCCCGAAUGUGCUGGCGACAACCGGGCUACAAUGGCCCAGAACGUGGGAACGCCAACCCUC
rnacentral:rRNA from 1 species